UGAAUGAGUAUUUAAAAAUUAAUAUGCGUGGGUAAAGAUUAGAGAUACCCAUAGUAGUGUGUAAUUCUUAGGUUGAAAUAAGGGGAAGGAACUCGGCAAAUUUUAGCUUCGCCUGUUUAUCAAAAACAUGGCUCUUUGGUAUUUAGGUAUAAAGAGUCAAACCUGCCCAGUGAAAUUUUUAACGGCCGCGGUACCCUGACCGUGCAAAGGUAGCAUAAUCAUUUGCCUUAUAAUUGAAGGCUUGUAUGAAUGGUUUAACGAAAGCACUGCUGUCUCCCCCUUAAUAAGUAGAAUUUGACUUUUAGGUGAAGAGGCCUAAAUGUAAUUGAAAGACAAGAAGACCCUGUCGAGCUUGAAAAUUAAGUUAGGAGCGAGAUAUAACAUGCCUUAAAUUUAUUACUAACUAUUUUUUUGGUUGGGGCGACCGAGGAACAAUAAAAGCUUCCUUUUUUGUAUUAACUUAUAGGUGCUGAUCCAGUUAGAGCUGAUUAAAAAAAUUAGUUACCGCAGGGAUAACAGCAUAAUCUCUCUUGAGAGAUCAAAUCGAAAGAGGGGGUKGUGACCUCGAUGUUGGACUAGAAUAUCCUAAAGAUGCAGAAGUCU
rnacentral:rRNA from 1 species